rnacentral:rRNA from 1 species
UAGUCCUACGGGGGGCAGCAGUGAGGAAUAUUGGUCAAUGGGCGGGAGCCUGAACCAGCCAAGCCGCGUGAAGGAAGAAGGCGCCAGGCGUCGUAAACCUCUUUUGUCGGGGAACAAAGGGCGCCACGUGUGGCGUUGUGAGUGUACCCAAAGAAAAAGCAUCGGCUAACUCCGUGUCAGUAGCCGCGGUAAUACGGAGGAUGCGAGCGUUAUCCGGAUUUAUUGGGUUUAAAGGGUGCGUAGGCGGUCCGGAAAGUCAGCGGUAAAAGCCCGGGGCUCAACCCCGGCGAGCCGUUGAAACUGUG